rnacentral:sRNA from 1 species
CUGUAUAAAAUACAUAUGCCACAUUGCGUGAUAAUUAAUAUAUACGUUCACACGUAUACUAUAAAUUAACGCAUAUGACGGUUCCGUGAUAUAUGGUUGCGCACGCAUGUCGUGUAUAUAUCUAAUAUUGCGGUCCGUUUAAAUAUUGUCUUAACGACGCACGUUGAUUAUAUAAAUUUUAUAUAUCAUACGACAAAUGUUAGAGAUUAUUAUAAUAUUUGUCGAACGAUCGAACGGUGUUACCGCUGACGAUGCGCUUAACGGCGUAACUCGGCGGGACGCUUUCGACUCUUCGAGUUAUGGAGUGUGUUAUGUAACAAUAUCGCACAUACGACGAGAGGGUUGAACGUUCACAUAUCGCGAGACACAUAAAUAUUAUCAAUCUCUAUUAUAACAAUUGACGUAUACACAAUGAUAUAUGAAGCUUUUAAUAAAUCAACGACAGUAGGCGGACUCGACGUCCGAAGAGCGCAUCGACGCCGUCGUCGUUAUCGAUCGUUAUUUCAUUGUAAAAAAUGUAUAACGUGUCGUAGCGGUUGCGUCGUCGUAACGCUGACGGAUAUCGCGUCUGCCUCAUAUUUUUAUCGUUGGCCUCAGAUCAGGGAGGAUCACCCGCCGAAUUUAAGCAUAUUAGUAAGCGGAGGAAAAGAAACUAACUAGGAUUUCCUUAGUAGCGGCGAGCGAACAGGAAAGAAGCCCAGCACUGAAUCCCGCCGUUGUUCAGGCGGCGGGAGAUGUGGUGUUCGGGAGGUUCCGCUUUCUCGUCGCGAUCGCUCCUGUCCAAGUUCGUCUUGAACGGGGCCGUUUUCCCGUAGAGGGUGCCAGGCCCGUAGCGACGGAGGAUCGCGGCGAGAGGGACUCUCCUUAGAGUCGGGUUGCUUGAGAGUGCAGCCCUAAGUGGGUGGUAA